AUGCUGAUGCGCCCAUGGCCUGCAAGUGCUAUUGGUACUGCAAGCUUUGAAGGAGCUGAUGAGAGAUUGAAUCGAAUAAAGCGGGUUUUCAUAAAGACACAGCGUGACCACAUGCUGGACCCUCAGCAGCAAGAUUCCAUGAUCAAGAAGUGGCCACCCAGCGAGGUUUUGGUCAUAGAUACAGACCACAGCCCCUUCUUCUCUGCACCAGAACAGCUCUUUAACCUAAUAGUCAAAUCUCUAUGA
rnacentral:rRNA from 1 species